UGUGGUGGACUUUUUGUGACAGCACCGUGGUUGCCAAGUUGGCCUUUACAUGAGAGACCAAAGAUCAGCCAUAGGUGAAUCCUGGAAAAAAGUCAACCCUUGGUCCAAUUGACCCACUGUGGGAGACUCUUUAAUGCAAGCAAAUAUGUGAACAGGAAAUAAGUCCUUAUUUGCAUGUUGGUAGAGUGAUCACUGUUCACACACAAUCACACAUGCUGCCUAGACCAUGCAUCACCACCAUCAUCACAUGCCAGCACCUACUCUUCAUCUGAUUUUUUUUUUUUAACAUCACAUGUAUUGCAUUUCCAAGUGUGUCCUGGAAACUUGGUGUGGGCUGAGACCUGUCAUUACCUGAGGUAAUGAAGCAUACCUCAGGACAUACAGGGCAUGCCACACUUUAUGUGUCCUGAUGAAAGGGAUGGAAAUGCAAAACAAGGAGAAAGGAUGGGGUCACACCUCUGAGGAGGAAUUAAAGGUUGAAAAACACUUAACUGCUCAAGAAUCGUGACAUUUGGAUCCUUAGCAACCACUUAAGUGUUAUAGCUCACUGUUCAGGGCUUUGAUUCCCAUGACGCACUGCGAAUUUCUUCUUAUUAUAGCCACUUAUAACAUGUACAUUCUGCACCUUGUUAACUAACCCCUUCACUGUAUCAAUUCAACAUUAAAUAGUAAUCCCAUCUCCCAUUGCAGUAUGGUUGUGUUUGUCUGGUCACCAGCUCUAAUGGGAAGGUAAGCUUGUGUGUCAUUGCUGCAGAAAUGAAAGUUUGGGGUUAUAUCUCUCAGGGGUGACAUGUAUUAAUGUAGCAUUAAUUUUAUCUAUUGUAGUAGCUGGUCUGUCGGCGAUGUGUAGAUGCAGAAGGAGGCUUCGUGACACUGGCUUGCUUGUAUAACAGGAGUUUAUUAUAAAGACAACACCAGUAUCAAUACAGCACUGCAGUUGCUGGGAGAGGACUGCUAAUGAUGUCCAGCUCUCUCAAACCUGAGUUUGUGACCCUGUUAUAUACGGUCAAGGAUGUAAGUCCUCCUAGAUUCACGUUGUCCCCAAGCUAUCUUUCAUUACCAUCUAGUUUUUAUUUAUCCUACAAUUGUGACCUGUGUCCUGUGACCUGCAAAUGUGCAACUUCCAAGAUAUCCCGACCCAGGUACCAUUAAAGAGACACAAGAAAAACACAAGCCCACAUUCCACAAUUGGUUCUCAGGCGAUUCCUGAGAAAUACCUUAAGGCAAUGCAUAUUGAUGUAGUACUCCAGAUACCACACUAUAAUCUUAGAUAAUAAUUGGAGUUUUUAAAAAGGUCUUCAAUUUAAAAAUGUGGUAUGACCUUUUUUUUAUCAGUAGUGGUUCAACCAGAGCAGUUUAUGACAGACAUGAGGAGGUCUUUACAAUGGAUAGAAUGAAAGGACUGAUGGUGCACAUGGUCUGUAGGGGUCUUGUAGGGACCACAUCCAAGAGUAAGACUCCCUACUUCAGAUGAAAUCAUUGAGCUCAGGUAGGGGCACUAAAGUAAAGGAGCUGAGGGACAGAACACGCGGCGGUCUUGACUUAGAGACUCAGGUACGGGUGAAUUAAGAGGAUGGGUGUUUCUGAUCUGGGAUCUGAUUUUCUGACUUUGACAAAUAGAGAAUAUUUUCAGUUCUUCAGAGAGUUCAGGUGUUUUUAGAGGGAGAACAGACAAGCUGAUUCAGGGGUUUGAUCAAAGAUUUUGGUUUGGGCUGUUUCAAGUGAUCAGACUAGAAAAGGGAUUUACCUGAGCACCAUUAGUUGUAGUGCAACUACAAAAGAAGUAAUCAGAGUUUGCAUUUAGGUUUAUAGACAUACCUAAAUAAAUCGUGUUAUAAAAUUUCUUAAAAUUUGGAUAUUGCAACUCAACAAUUUCUCACAUUUGCAGUUUCCUCGUUUAGAGAUCAGAGAAUCAUACAAUUAUUAUGAUUAUCAAAUAAAUCUGUUCACAUCUUGCAAAGUGAACAUUGUAUCAAGCUCUAUGUAAGCCUCUUGACCUUUUCUUUGGUUCUCCAUUUUUGUAGCAGGUGGUUUACCGCUAUGCAAAAUAUACUAAAACAGAUAUGUGGGCUGUGACAUAGACUCCAACACUUAUAGCUUCAUUAUGCUGAUGUGGAGCACAAAGUACACAACACCAACAAGGUCUCACUAAAAACAUUCAGUCGCUCCUUUUGUUAAGGCUCUUCCUAUUCACACAAAACACACACACAUUGUGACAGACUCCCUGAUAAAACAUGGGACACAAUGAGGUGUCCUUGUUUGUGGACACUACUGAAAUCUUUUCACUUGAAGGGUCGUAAAGAGAGCAGAGGUCUCUUUAUGAGGGAGGACACGCCUGUUGAUGAAUACCUCAUAUACUGACCUCAUCUGGCCAACACCAUGACCUCUCUUACGAUCACAACUUCUGUACAGCAAUAUGUGAGAUAUACGCAAUACUUAGACUUAGAACUCAAACUGCUAACUUGCUGUGGGUAUAUGUCCAGCUACAUGCAUGACGUUUCUUUUAAAUAAAUGUCAAUGUUUGUCUUGCUGUGUCUGCACUAUUUGUUUACAGGUCAGUGACUUUUUGUUUACCACUGAAACAACCAUGUGACUUCCAGUAGGUUUAAUUCUAUAGUUGUGUAAAGUAAACCCAGCUAUCCUAUACUGUUGAACUCCUUAUUGUGCACUACAGCAAAGAACUGAGAACAACAGUUCUUUAAAAACCCUCACUCAAAAAAUGACAGCAAUUCAGAGCAGCUUCCAGAGCGACCUCUCUGAUCAAAACACAAACAUACUACACACCUGUAAAAUGUAUUUGUACAAAAAUGGGCCAAACCUGACACAAUUAGAAAAUCCAGAGCAUGCAGUCACCCUCCACACAACAAUGUACUUUGUUUUGUUUUCUAUGUGAGCUUCAGCCUUUUGUUGAACACAAACCUUUUGACACAUACUAACUGAGGUGAUGUUGGUGACCAGAAAACAUGACACUGAAACUACAAUGGAUAACAAGAGCACAAUUCUGUACUAUAGGACAGACUUAAAAGCCUGUAUUUACCUAUGUCCCAUAUGAACAUGAUACACAUGUAAGGAUGUAUUUGUCUUCCUCUCGAUUGAGAUGCAGGCCAACAAUAUACAUUAUGACCAGAGUUACCUCUUUUUUGCUGCUGCCCGUCUUUUAACUAACACUAACACACGUGAGCACAUCACUCCUGUCCUUAGCUCCCUUCAAUGGCUUCCCGUCUCUUUUAGGAUUGAUUUUAAACUUUAAAUGUUUGUUUUUAAAGCUCUUCACGGCUUUGCCCCCAUCCAUUUAACUGAGCUUUUAACAGUUCAGGAGCCGGGUAGAGCUCUGGGUUUGUCAAACUAACUUCUGCUGGAGGUGUCCAGGUCAAAACACAAGGACUGGAGUAAACGGGCCUUUUCAGUUGCUUGUCCCAGGCUCUGGAAGAAGCUCCCCACCGAAAUGAGACUUAUUUCUGACCUGGGCCUUUUUAAAUCUCGAUUGAAAACAUACUUAUUUAUGCUGGCCUUUAAUACCCAGUAGCGUGGUGACACUUUAUUUUAUUGCAUUAUAUAUAUAUAUCUUUUUUAUUGCUUUUAUUGUUUAUAUUGCUUUUUAUUGUUUUUAUUUAUUCAUUUUUAUUUUCUAUUGUAAAGCAAUUAGGUUCACCAAAAGGGUUGUUGUAAAGGGCUGUAUAAAUAAAGAACAUUUACAUUUGCAUUUUUGAUUUAUCAACUAAUCAGGAAAGGUUGCACAUUUAGAUUUUUUGACAGGUUAAAUCAAUCAGUCUUUGUUUAUAUUGCACUUUUCAUACAUAACAUGUAGCACAAAGUGCUUCACGCAGAAAAAGGAAUAAAAGAAACAAAGACUACCCAAAUUAACCCCAACCCAGGAUUAAAAGAAUACCCAAAUCUACACCAGCCCAACCCCUCAUUCCCA